ensembl:lncRNA
UGUAUAUCCCAUCUCACUCGCUUUCCUUAAAAUGGGACAUAUUCCCUCCUCCAUCAAAGGGUAAUCUAUGUUGCCUCCCAUUGAAACUAGGUAAACCUUUGUAAGUGCCUUGACUAGUAGUAUGAAGUGGAAGUGAUGCUUUAUGACUUUGGAGACUAGAUCAUAAACGGUGAUACGUCUUCUACCUCUCUCUGCCUCUCUGUCUAUGUCUCUGUCUCUCUCUCCUUUUCUCUCCUUGCUGCAAUGAGAAGACACAGCAAGAAGACUUCUGUCUGCAAGCAAGGAAGAAGGCUCUCACCAGGAACCGAAUUGGUUAACACCUAAUUAUCUUGGACUUCCCAGCCUUUAGAACUAAAGACAACUGAAUAAAUUUGGUAGCAGAAUAGGAAGGAACAAAUACAUGAGCGUACUCGGAAUGAGAGAAGACAGCAGCAGUAAUGAAAUUUUUAGCAGCACAUGCCCACACCGUGGCCCCUUCCUGAUUCCUGUAAUGUACAUGUGGAAUCGACUGUGUAGAAGAGAAACUUCAGAGAUGCAUUGGUGUCAAUCAGGCACAUCCCUGGACCAGACUAUAUAUCCAAUUAAAGAUGUAUUGAGGACUAUCUCUCACACAUAUUGCCUGGCUAUGGGCCCUACCUUUGAGGAUGUGAUGUCUUUGGUGCCACAGACAUGCAUAAUCAGUGGACACAGAGAAAGCAUGAGUGAUUCAAAUGGACAUGGAAACAAGAACUGGAAAUUGGACGUCUGGUAUUCUCAUGGAUGGCUUGCAGGACUUCCUUAUGGGAUUUGGGUACGAAGUCUAGCAUUGAAGGGACAGUGAUAUGUAAAAUAUCCAGGACAAAGGAAACGGAAGAUACAGGUGAAAGUGAGUGAGGAAGCAGAGAAGGCAGAUCUUAGAAGCAGGGCCGACCACUACCACCAGCCCAACUGGAUAUACUGUCGAGAUUUAAGUGAGUACACAGUUGGAGUUUACCAAGGAGAGCAGAGGGUCUGGGAAAGACUAAAAUGCCAGUCACCAAAUCCAGUUGUCUCAGUUACAAUAAAUCCCCAAGAAGGUCUAAUGCAUGGAUAAAAACAUAUGAAAAUGAAGCAAAUAAUUACUUGUGGUGGAAUGAAUUUGAAUGGAUCCAUCUUGAUGGAAGAUUCUGAUCCUGCAUGCUGGAUGAACCAUGCUCCCACUCGCUGCCUAUCACCUCCCUACUGGCACGGUUAUGUCCAGAUAUGGCAGCUACAUAAUUAUGACUACUACAGUUUUUCUCCAUACUUCAGAAUGCAUUGAAGCCUCUUUCAUAUUAGGAAAUGUCAUCACAAAUCUUGUACAAAACUGAUUACAUUACGUGAAUGAAAAUAACUAUGAUAAGGUGAAUUAAACAAUUUAAAUAUUAGAAAUGAUCAUGUAGUCCCGAAGCAGUGUGAAGAGAAUGUCGGAAGAUUACUGAGAAGUGCAAGGUUGGGAGGAGACACACUAAUCUUCCUACAAGUAAGACUUCUAGUCAUGAAAACCCUGUUGGAACAUCUGAAACGCUUUAUGUACAAGGACCUGUCUUAGAGGAAGAAGCUGAUGAGGAACUUCUCAGUUUUUCUGGGCUCACCAGGUCUCCUCAGGUUCAAUGACCUUACCGACCAGUCAAGGGUCCUUAGAUCUCAUCCAAGUCAUCUGGCUGGUAUUUCCUUAGGGAAAAGAGGGGCUGAAGAUGCUGUACAAAGCUUAAUUUCUGCACCUCGUCCUUAAAUGCAGCACUGACUCCCCUGAGCUGGAGGUGGGCAAAAGACCCAAGUCAAACCUGUUACAUCACACACCCACCUAGUAGCCAGAGUGAAGGAUCCAAGAAGGCAUAAGACACAGUAGAGCCCAUCAGAGACCAUCCUGGGAAGCUGUUUUUUAACUAGAGACAAUACAAAUGUUAUUUUUUAGUAGACCUUUACUAAAAGAUGCUUUUAGUCAAAAAUAACAUCACAGGGCAAGUCUGUUUGAGAGAAUGAUGCUGCCACACAGCCAGAAAAGAAGGAAGGCAUCUCUGCUUUCAGUUUCAGAAUUUUCCAGAACUGUAACCAAAGCAUAGCUAUUUAGUUGUUUCUUCGAUUUUGGUGAGCUGUGCAGGAAUCAUUUCAAUAAAUUCCCCUUUUUGUUUAAUCUUGUUUGAAAAGUUUUCUUUUUCAUUUGUGUCCCAAAGUAUCCUGG